rnacentral:rRNA from 1 species
GACGAACGCUGGCGGCGUGCUUAACACAUGCAAGUCGAACGGAAAGGCCCUGCUUUUGUGGGGUGCUCGAGUGGCGAACGGGUGAGUAACACGUGAGUAACCUGCCCUUGACUUUGGGAUAACUUCAGGAAACUGGGGCUAAUACCGGAUAGGAGCUCCUGCUGCAUGGUGGGGGUUGGAAAGUUUCGGCGGUUGGGGAUGGACUCGCGGCUUAUCAGCUUGUUGGUGGGGUAGUGGCUUACCAAGGCUUUGACGGGUAGCCGGCCUGAGGGGGUGACCGGCCACAUUGGGACUGAGAUGCGGCCCAGACUCCUACGGGAGGCAGCAGUGGGGAAUAUUGCACAAUGGGCGGAAGCCUGAUGCAGCAACGCCGCGUGCGGGAUGACGGCCUUCGGGUUGUAAACCGCUUUCGCCUGUGACGAAGCGUGAGUGACGGUAAUGGGUAAAGAAGCACCGGCUAACUACGUG